GUAGGACCAACGUCCAGAUGGUCUAGCGAAACUCAUCUUGUGGCCUUAUUUAGUGGGACCAACGCCCGGAUAGUCUAGCAGAACCCGCCUUGUGACCUAACUUGGCGAAACUCGCCUUGUGACCUGACUUGACGGAACCUGUCUUGUGACCUUAUUUAGUGGGACCAAAGCCCGAAUGGUCUAGCAGAGCCCGCCUUGUGACUUGGCCUGGCGGAAUCUGCCUUGUGGCCUUGUUUAGUGAGACCAACACUCGGAUAGUCUAGCAGAACCCGCCUU
rnacentral:lncRNA from 1 species